GACGAAGGGGGCUAGCGUUGUUCGGAAUUACUGGGCGUAAAGCGUGUGUAGGUGGUUGUCAUAGUCAGGUGUGAAAGCCUUGAGCUUAACUCAAGAAAUGCACUUGAUACUGGGCAGCCAGAGGACCGGAGAGGAUAGUGGAAUUCCCAGUGUAGUGGUGAAAUACGUAGAGAUUGGGAAGAACACCAGUGGCGAAGGCGGCUAUCUGGACGGUUUCUGACACUAAGACACGAAAGCGUGGGGAGCAAACAAG
rnacentral:rRNA from 1 species